rnacentral:rRNA from 1 species
ACCGGCAGCUCAAGUGGUGGCCAUUUUUAUUGGGCCUAAAGCGUUCGUAGCCGGUUUGAUAAGUCUCUGGUGAAAUCCCGCAGCUUAACUGUGGGACUUGCUGGAGAUACUAUUAGACUUGAGGUCGGGAGAGGUUAGGGGUACUCCCAGGAGAGCGGUGAACUGGUACAAUCCUGGGGGGGGCGAAUGAGGGGCAGGCGCGUAACGGGGACUAACCUGCCGGUGAGUACCGAAAGUCACGCUCACGAAAUG